UACGUAGGGUGCGAGCGUUGUCCGGAAUUAUUGGGCGUAAAGCGCGUGUAGGCGGUCCGGUAAGUCCGCUGUGAAAGUCGAGGGCUCAACCCUCGAAUGCCGGUGGAUACUGUCGGGCUAGAGUGCGGAAGAGGCGAGUGGAAUUCCUGGUGUAGCGGUGAAAUGCGCAGAUAUCAGGAGGAACACCUAUUGCGAAGGCAGCUCGCUGGGACGUUACUGACGCUGAGACGCGAAAGCGUGGGGAGCAAACAGG
rnacentral:rRNA from 1 species